CGUCGAUUAGGGGGAUGGUGGGGGAGCUGCUGGCGGUGGCGAAUAAGGAGAAAGCGGUUAUCUCGCUUGGAAUAGGAGAUGCUGCGGCGUACCCGUGCUUCCGCAAGGGGCAGGAGGUGUUCUCACAGGCGGUGGCGGAGGCUGUCGUGUCCCGGAAGUUCGACUGCUAUGCUCCUUCGUUUGGGUUACCCUCUGCUCGCAGAGCUGUGGCGAAGCACUUAUCUUCUGGGUUGAAGCAGCAAGCAGCUAUUGGAGAAACCGACGUUUUCCUGACCGUCGGAGGAACUCAGGCGCUGCAAGUUUGCGUGACAGUGUUGGCAGCACCAGGAUCUAACCUCCUACUGCCUCGUCCCGG
rnacentral:misc_RNA from 1 species